AGCUUUGCGCAGUGGUAGUAUCGUAGCCAGUGAGGUUUAUCGGAGGCAUGAUUAUUGCUAAUUGAAAACUUUUCCCAUACCU
rnacentral:snRNA from 1 species